rnacentral:rRNA from 1 species
UACGUAGGGGGCGAGCGUUGUCCGGAAUCACUGGGCGUAAAGCGCGCGUAGGUGGCGCGUCAAGAUCGGCGUGAAAUCCCCGGGCUCACCUCGGGGGGGUCGUCGGUGACUGGCGUGCUUGGGUUCCGCAGAGGCAGGUAGAAUUCCCGGUGGAGCGGUGAAAUGCGUAGAGAUCGGGAGGAAUACCAGUGGCGAAGGCGGCCUGCUGGGCGGCAACCGACGCUGAGGCGCGAAAGCGUGGGGAGCGAACCGG